UACAGAGGGUGCAAGCGUUGUUCGGAAUUAUUGGGCGUAAAGAGCUCGUAGGCGGUUUGUUGCGUCUAUCGUGAAAACCUGCAGCUUAACUGUGGGCUUGCGGUGGAUACGGGCAGACUUGAGUUCGGUAGGGGAGACUGGAAUUCCUGGUGUAGCGGUGAAAUGCGCAGAUAUCAGGAGGAACACCGGUGGCGAAGGCGGGUCUCUGGGCCGAUACUGACGCUGAGGAGCGAAAGCGUGGGGAGCGAACAGG
rnacentral:rRNA from 1 species